rnacentral:lncRNA from 1 species
GUUUGUUGGCUUUGAAGAGGAUGGUGGAGUUUGCGGUUUUGUUUUAGGAGGAGUAUUGGAGGUUGUAGAGGAUGGUGGAGUCUGUGGUUUUGUUUUAGGAGGAGUAUUGGAGUUUGUUGUGAAGGUUGAUCUUUGGACUGGAGAAGACCUCGGCGGAGUUUGGUGGAGACCUUGGCGGAGAUGGCUGAGAAGCAGGAGCCACAAUUGGAGACCUAGUUGCUGGUGGUGCAGGAGACCUAGUUGCUGGUGGUGCGGGGGAUCUUGUUGGAGCUGC